UACGUAGGGUGCAAGCGUUAAUCGGAAUUACUGGGCGUAAAGCGUGCGCAGGCGGUUAUGUAAGACAGGUGUGAAAUCCCCGGGCUUAACCUGGGAACUGCAUUUGUGACUGCAUAGCUAGAGUACGGUAGAGGGGGAUGGAAUUCCGCGUGUAGCAGUGAAAUGCGUAGAUAUGCGGAGGAACACCGAUGGCGAAGGCAAUCCCCCUGGACCUGUACUGACGCUCAUGCACGAAAGCGUGGGGGAGCAAACAGG
rnacentral:rRNA from 1 species